rnacentral:lncRNA from 1 species
GGAACGUGCCCGAGCGCGUCCUGUCACGUGAUAUCCCUGCAGCGGACGGGAGCCUGACUUCUAGCGUCGGGAGCGCGCCCGGUUCCCCCAGCCUGGCCCGGUGAGCGCGUCCACCAUGUACCGAGCGCUCUACGCAUUCCGCUCCCCGGAGCCCAACUCCAUGCAGUUCGCGGCCGGAGAGAGCUUUAUCAUCCUGGAGCGAUGUAACCAGCAUUGGUGGCUGGCCAGUCGCUGCAGUACCGGGGACACGGGCUACGUACCGGCCUCCUACCUGGACAGGAUCAAGGUAAUAACACCUGUAUCACCGAGACCCAGACCCUGCCACAGCUACACACUGUGCUUUAUUACAGAUAUAUAUAUAUAUAUAUAUAUAUAUAUAUAUGUGUAUUAUGUAUAGCUGUGUGUGUAUUAUGUAUAGCUGUGUGUGUAUUAUGUAUAGCUGUGUGUGUGUGUGUGUGUGUGUGUAUUAUGUAUUGCUGUGUGUGUGUGUAUUAUGUAUAUUAUGUAUAUAUAUUUCAUGUGUCAGUGGACCAUUUGUUAUGUAUUUGUUAUGGAAAGAUAAUGCAAAGGAGCGUUUCUGGAGACAUCACAAUAAAUAUAAACCCUUGGACUGGCGGGUCGGUAGUUAACCGUCUCAGGAACCAAAUGUAAUGUAUUUAUGUACCAUAAAACCCCCCACUUAUUUUAUGUAUCGUUUACACUAGCUUACGUUUUUAGGUUAGUGUAAAGGUAGCUUAGCAGUUAAAUAGACAUUGUAAGGUUAAAAACAAGUUUGUUUAUUUUUAACCUUGGAAUGUUACUACAUUGUAAAUUCAGAUCCCAAGGUCCUCUCUCCUCCUCCAAUGCUCUGGUCCAAUCCAAUGCUCCUCAUAAGGCAGCGUUUGGUACGAAAUGCACUUGCACAAAUCCAGUAAAAUGCUUCUCCUAGGAAACCAUUGAUUUUGAAUGCUUUCCUAUGAGCAGUAUUUGAUGACGUUCUACUUCUUAACCCCUUAAGACCGCAGGGCAUUCUAUGCCGUCCCCAUUUUGGUGGCUCUAAACGCCGCAGGGUGGCAUAGAACGCCCUGUGAUCUUAUGUUCUUACCCGGUCGCCGGCUAUUGCGGUAUGGGGACUUACCUGGGAGCCCAGGGAGUCCCCCUCCUUCCUCUUUGGCCCCCCUGGGCCAUGUGAUCGCGAGGUCCUUGCGAGGACCUCGCAAUCACAUGGAUGGCAUAGCCAGCAGGAGGAGUGCCUGUAAUGACAGGUACUCCCCCUGCAAUCUGGAAAUAAAAUAAGUUAAUACAGUGCAAAAAUAAAUAAUAUAUACUUAGAUCAUAUAUUUUAUUUAUAUAUAUAUAUAUAUAUAUAUAUUUCAUAUCAAAAUACACGUACAAUUAUAUUGAUUAAAUAUAUAUAUUCAUAUAUAAUAAAAAUUAAAGCUGUAAAUAGGUUAAAAAUAAAAUAAGAAAAACAAAUAUAUAUACAUGUGUAAUUUCGUUCUAACUGUAUUUUUAAAUUAAUAUAUAUUUAUAUCAAAAUAUAUGUAGAAUAUAUAUAUAUUUUAAAUUAUAAGCCUGAUUCUUUGUUAAACUAAUUUGCAUAUGCCCUCCCAGAAUCCUUUGCGGUUGUAACAUUGCAGCAGUUAUGGGAUUUCUGUGGGAAAAGCAAGUCUUAUGGCUUGACUGGUGGGCAGAUUUUUGUUUAACAUUGUAUUAAUUAUCCACAGACUUCAGGUGGAAGGGGUUUUCAAUCACAAAUUUUCCCCACCAUAACCUUUUUGGAUUAUAUAUAUAUAUACAUAUACACACACACACACUGAAAAUACCGGCACUCAAGGUUUUCCAGAAGAUAGCUUCUCCAUUUAUUUUUCCGCAAUAAAUGGAGAAGUUAUCUUCUGGAAAACCUUGAGUGCCGGUAUUUUCACUUUGUUUAUGAUUAAGCCACCAGAGCACCAGGUACUAUUUUUAUUUCUCUAGUUGGAGUGCAGGGGUAUUUUGUAAUAUAUAUUUAUAUAUUUAUAUAUAUAUAUAUAUAUAUAUAUAUAUUUCUCUCUAUAUCUAUAUCUCAUUGUACAUAAUUAGGUCAUUUUAUUAAUUACAAUUUGCCGGACCUGCCUGACAACUCAGGCCGAAAGUUCUGGGAAUAUCAUCAGUGACAGUGACGUUUUUUUGCAUUUUUCACACACAAAUGGCAUUUUCACUGACGAUAUAAUUGUUGUGAUACAUUUUACUGUUUUGAAACACUAAUAUUUGUGUUCAGCGAAGUCUCCCAAGUAUAACAGUACCCCUCAUGUACAGGUUUUAUGGUGUUUUCAAAAGUUAGAGUCAAAUAUAAGGCUUGCGUUUCAGUUUUUUCACAUUAAAAUUCGCCAGGUUGGUUAUGUUGCCUUUGAGACUGUACGGUAGCCCAGGAAUAAAAAUUACCCCCAUGAUGGCAUGCCAUUUGCAAUAUUAGACAUCCCAGGGUAUUGCAAAUGGGGUAUGUUCAGUCUUUUUUAGUAGCCACUUAGUCACAAACACUGGCCAAAAUUAAGAUGUCUACUAAAGCUUCUAUGUAAGAAUUAAUUUUGUAGGAGUUGAGAGUUAGUGUUAGGGAUUACAAAGGACUUUACUGUUGGGGCAUUCAUGUCCUCACAAUUAAAAUAAUGGCAGUUGCCACUUGGCAGUGUGUAACACCCUCUAAUCUUGGGCAGACUGCGACAAGAAUGUCCUGGUUUUGCCAGAGAUUCGGGUCCCUAAACUGCAAGGAGAUGACCCUUGUAUUAAUAUUCUCCACUCAUACAGACAAAAUUGGAUUUCAAUUGAUGUCACCUUCUGUGUAGUGCUGGUAGAUCUGGCUGUUAAAAUAUGAAAAUAUCAUGCAGGAAACCAUCCUAAUAUUUUUCAUAAUGGAUUAUUUAUGCAAAUAUUUUUGGGACUUGUUCACUAAGCAUUAGAUUGAUUUGGGUAAUUUUUUCAGAUGAGCUUUUUUUAUCAAUACAGAAUUAGGUGAAUAACUAUUUGGAGUGCACAUAAGCAACCUUUCUCUGUCACAUUCUCUGCGUUCCAUAAUUUGCCAGGUGUGCUAUCCUUGAUUGAUAAUUUUUGUAUGUUAUUGGGUUCCAUAUAGUGUGCCUUUUGGUAAUGUGCAUAACCUAUGUAAUGCAAUUAUUUUAUCAAUGAUUUUGUGGGGGAAUAUAAGAAGAUAUGUCUCAUAAUUGUGUUGUAGUUUUAUCUGGCUUACUUUUGCUCAGUAAUUGCCAUGCACAAUUUAACCCUAGUUGGUUUGUAAUCCUAUAGUAAAGGAACAUUUGUUUUUUUUUUUUGUUUUUUUUUCUGUGUAAAUCUCUUGUUUAGCAUGAAUGUGAUUAAUAAGGCAACUUUUUUUUUUUAGUAAUCAUUGCUGUCAAAUACUGAAGUGGUCACGGUGCAACAUAUACCAUAAGCCAUGAUGGCUGACCAGAAAGCACACAUGAAAAUGCCCACAGCAAAAACCCCACUGUCAUAAAUGCGCACAAGACAAUUGCCCGUGCGGAAAAUUGCCUACACUGAAAUAAGCACACAAAGAAAAAUACCCACACAGAAUAAUAUGAUUUAAAGUACCAUAGAUGUAAAUAAAUUUAGAUAACUAUUGAUCUCCCAUUUAUAAGCAUAAAAAGGUAUUGCCUGUAUUUUAUAUUAUUGAUAUUUUAGGAUUAAAAUAUUUCAUAUUCAUAUGCAAUUUGUGUUGUCAUUUUAUCGAGUAUGAAUAAACAAUAAUAUAUGUUAUAAGUAUACUUAUUCAUUGCUAAACAAAAGUGGUUUGUGUAUGAAGACCGCUUUAACCCCUUAAGCACGGAAGCAAGUUAU